CCCUUAGAUGUUCUGGGCCGCACGCGCGCUACACUGAUGCAUUCAACGAGUUUUUCCUGGUCCGAGAGGAAUGGGUAACCUGUUGAAAGUGCAUCGUGCUAGGGAUAGACUAUUGCAAUUAUUGGUCUUCAACGAGGAAUUCCUAGUAGACGUAGUUCAUCAGACUGCAUCGAUUACGUCCCUGCCCUUUGUACACACCGCCCGUCGCUCCUACCGAUUGGAUGAUCCGGUGAGCUAUUCGGACCUUCGCUUCGUCGAUUUUCGGCUUUGUGAGGGAAAGUCUCGCGAACCUUAUCAUCUAGAGGAAGGAGAAGUCGUAACA
rnacentral:rRNA from 1 species